AGAAGGAAGUCGGCAGGCGAGACUGCAGAGGGAGUAGUGCGAUCCUGCGCGCGGGGGAACUAGCUGGAGGGCAAGGCGGGAACACGCCACUGUGAGCAUGCAUUUCAGGUUGUUGGCGCAGCUCUGCUCCAUGAUGUCGAUCUGAAACCCAGAUUUUCCUUCUCUUGCCACUGUCAUCUCCUGCAUGGCCAAAGCUAGGUCACCAUCAUAGUCAUGUUUCAGCCUAUGGGAAGGGGGAAAGACAAUAUUCAAGCAUCUAUUGUUGGGGUGAUCGGACCUAACACCAGGUUGUGGGGACAACGAAGUCCAGAAGAGUGAAAGGAAUGAGAAAAGACAGUUUGAGAGAGAAAGUGGGCCCAGGGGGCCAAUGCGAGUAUGGAGGCUGUGAAGGCCCCGAGCCCUGGAAGCCCAGACUAUUUAUUGGUGAUCAAACAAAGAAACAGGUGGAGUGAGUGAGAGAUGAGGACAUAACAUUCAGUCAUGGCGCUACAAAAGCUGUUUCCUAAAGCUUCGUUGAAUUGUGGUUGGAGGAUGUGGCCUGUGCAGAUUUUGCGUUGGUGUAUUUAUUAGUGUUUUCUUUGUGGCGGGGCUGUGUCAGUUUGCGUUGUUCUCAGUGCAAGUGCCUGAAAACCCAGCUGAGGGGCUUGAAUGACUAAGGGGCUGAUUUGUGCCCUACGACAAGUCCACAGGAGAAAGCCCAGGACCGCCUUGAAGGAAGCAGGCUCUUUCUGUUUUCCUGCUCUGCCAACUUAUGGAGAUGGUGCUGCUGCAUCUUGGGCAUCCUGUGUAUGGUCCAAGCAGGAAGGAAGAGGAACAGGGAGAGGAGGCACAUGUAGAUUUGUGUUUCUGUCUCUUUGGCAAGAACUGAACCAUAUGGGCACUGCCAGCCACAAGACAGCCUAGCUGGGCUUGUUUUCAGUUUUCUAAUCUCUAGCUUAGAGCAUAAAGUUUAUAAUGAUUGUUAGAUAGGCCAACCUAAUGAAUCUAGUACAAUAUCAAUUUUCAUAUAUGUAACAAAGAUACAGAAACUAUAUAUUUUUUGUAGGGGGUCCUUUGCUCUCCUAUAUUAAAAAUUAUUUAUGUCAUUGUUUAUUUUUUGCAUACUUGACCUGUCAAAAGCUAAAAGUGGUCUAAUAAAGUCUUGUGGAAUAAA
ensembl:lncRNA PLEKHA8P1 pleckstrin homology domain containing A8 pseudogene 1